AGUCACUGACAUUAGAUACCCGGGUAGUCCAGGGUGUAAACGCUGCAGACUUGGUGUUGGAGGCCCUUUGGGGCAUUCAGUGCCGGAGAGAAGUUGUUAAGUCUGCUACUUGGGGAGUACGUCCGCAAGGAUGAAACUUAAGGAAUUGGCGGGGGAGCACCGCAACGGGAGGAGCGUGCGGCUUAAUUGGAUUCAACACCGUAAACUCACCAGGGAAGACUGUUACAUGAAGGCCGAGAUGAAGACUCUGCUAGAUUUUCAG
rnacentral:rRNA from 1 species